GACGAACGCUGGCGGCGUGCCUAAUACAUGCAAGUAGAACGCACAGUUUAUACCGUAGCUUGCUACACCAUAGACUGUGAGUUGCGAACGGGUGAGUAACGCGUAGGUAACCUGCCUGGUAGCGGGGGAUAACUAUUGGAAACGAUAGCUAAUACCGCAUAAUAUUAAUUAUUGCAUGAUAAUUAAUUGAAAGGUGCAAUUGCACCACUACCAGAUGGACCUGCGUUGUAUUAGCUAGUAGGUGAGGUAACGGCUCACCUAGGCGACGAUACAUAGCCGACCUGAGAGGGUGAUCAGCCACACUGGGACUGAGACACGGCCCAGACUCCUACGGGAGGCAGCAGUAGGGAAUCUUCGGCAAUGGACGAAAGUCUGACCGAGCAACGCCGCGUGAGUGAAGAAGGUUUUCGGAUCGUAAAGCUCUGUUGUAAGAGAAGAACGGGUGUGAGAGUGGAAAGUUCACACUGUGACGGUAUCUUACCAGAAAGGGACGGCUAACUACGUG
rnacentral:rRNA from 1 species